rnacentral:rRNA from 1 species
CAGGCUUAACACAUGCAAGUCGAGGGGUAUGGUUCUUCGGAGCCAGAGACCGGCGCACGGGUGCGUAACGCGUAUGCAAUCUACCUUUUACAGAGGGAUAGCCCAGAGAAAUUUGGAUUAAUACCUCAUAGUAUAAUGACUCGGCAUCGAGAUAUUAUUAAAGUCACAACGGUAAAAGAUGAGCAUGCGUCCCAUUAGCUAGUUGGUAAGGUAACGGCUUACCAAGGCUACGAUGGGUAGGGGUCCUGAGAGGGAGAUCCCCCACACUGGUACUGAGACACGGACCAGACUCCUACGGGAGGCAGCAGUGAGGAAUAUUGGACAAUGGGCGCAAGCCUGAUCCAGCCAUGCCGCGUGCAGGAUGACGGUCCUAUGGAUUGUAAACUGCUUUUAUACGAGAAGAAACACUACUUCGUGAAGUAGCUUGACGGUAUCGUAAGAAUAAGGAUCGGCUAACUCCGUGCCAGCAGCCGCGGUAAUACGGAGGAUCCAAGCGUUAUCCGGAAUCAUUGGGUUUAAAGGGUCCGUAGGCGGUUUAAUAAGUCAGUGGUGAAAGCCCAUCGCUCAACGGUGGAACGGCCAUUGAUACUGUUAAACUUGAAUUAUUAGGAAGUAACUAGAAUAUGUAGUGUAGCGGUGAAAUGCUUAGAGAUUACAUGGAAUACCAAUUGCGAAGGCAGGUUACUACUAAUGGAUUGACGCUGAUGGACGAAAGCGUGGGUAGCGAACAGGAUUAGAUACCCUGGUAGUCCACGCCGUAAACGAUGGAUACUAGCUGUU